rnacentral:rRNA from 1 species
ACUGAACGCUGGCGGCAGGCUUAACACAUGCAAGUCGAGCGGAGAUGAGGUGCUUGCACCUUAUCUUAGCGGCGGACGGGUGAGUAAUGCUUAGGAAUCUGCCUAUUAGUGGGGGACAACAUUCCGAAAGGAAUGCUAAUACCGCAUACGCCCUACGGGGGAAAGCAGGGGAUCUUCGGACCUUGCGCUAAUAGAUGACCCUAAGUCGGAUUAGCUAGUUGGUGGGGUAAAGGCCUACCAAGGCGACGAUCUGUAGCGGGUCUGAGAGGAUGAUCCGCCACACUGGGACUGAGACACGGCCCAGACUCCUACGGGAGGCAGCAGUGGGGAAUAUUGGACAAUGGGCGGAGGCCUGAUCCAGCCAUGCCGCGUGUGUGAAGAAGGCCUUUUGGUUGUAAAGCACUUUAAGCGAGGAGGAGGCUACCUGGAUUAAUACUCUAGGAUAGUGGACGUUACUCGCAGAAUAAGCACCGGCUAACUCUGUGCCAGCAGCCGCGGUAACAC